UACGUAGGGGGCAAGCGUUGUCCGGAAUCAUUGGGCGUAAAGCGCGCGUAGGUGGAUCGGUAAGUCUGCGAAGAAAGACCCGGGCUCAACUCGGGGAACGGUGUGGAUACUACCGAUCUUGAGGCAAUCAGAGGAUGAUGGAAUUCCCGGUGUAGCGGUGAAAUGCGUAGAUAUCGGGAGGAACGCCAGUGGCGAAGGCGAUCAUCUGGGGUUGUUCUGACACUGAGGAGCGAAAGCUAGGGGAGCAAACGGG
rnacentral:rRNA from 1 species